UACGUAGGGUGCGAGCGUUGUCCGGAAUUAUUGGGCGUAAAGAGCUCGUAGGCGGUCUGUCGCGUCUGCUGUGAAAUCCCGAGGCUCAACCUUGAGCUUGCAGUGGGUACGGGCAGACUAGAGUGUGGUAGGGGAGACUGGAAUUCCUGGUGUAGCGGUGAAAUGCGCAGAUAUCAGGAGGAACACCGAUGGCGAAGGCAGGUCUCUGGGCCACUACUGACGCUGAGAAGCGAAAGCAUGGGGAGCGAACAGG
rnacentral:rRNA from 1 species